rnacentral:tRNA from 1 species
GGUGCUGAUCCAAUAAAUUGGGCUGAGUUGAUGUCUCAGAUUGAGGGAGUUUCAAGUUUUUCCCCAGUGCUU